rnacentral:rRNA from 1 species
UACAGAGGGUGCGAGCGUUAAUCGGAAUUACUGGGCGUAAAGCGCACGUAGGUGGCGACGUAAGUCGGGUGUGAAAGCCCCGGGCUCAACCUGGGAAUUGCAUUCGAGACUGCAUUGCUGGAGUACGGAAGAGGAAGGCGGAAUUCCCGGUGUAGCGGUGAAAUGCGUAGAUAUCGGGAGGAACAUCAGUGGCGAAGGCGGCCCUCUGGUCCAGUACUGACGCUGAGGCACGAAAGCCAGGGGAGCGAACGGG